CAAUUAAAUAAAAUAAUAUCAUAUCAUCAACAUCAUUGACUUGACUAUUUAUUUAUUGUCUUUGAAUAUGUAUUUUGAGGCCAUUAUAUGUUUUUGUAUGAUAUAGUUUAUAAAAUUUAGAAAGUGUUUUGUGAUUUGUAGUUUAGUGUAUCAUAAUUAUAAACUUUAUUUAUUUGACAGUUUUUUUUUUAUAUCAAAUUCAUUUUAUUCAACAAAUUUGGGUGAAUUUUGUGUGUGUAUGAAAUGGCGACCGUCCGAACGAGCAGUGCAUUACGAGCACUUGCUGUUGAAUAUAAAUCACUCCAGGAAGAACCAGUUGAAGGUUUUUGUGUGAAACUUGUUAGUGAUGAUAACCUUUUUGAAUGGGAAGUUGCUAUAUUUGGACCUCCAGAUACUCUCUAUAUGGGGGGUUAUUUUAAAGCAAGAAUGAAGUUUCCAGGAGAUUAUCCCUAUUCACCACCCAGUAUUCGAUUUUUGACCAAAGUCUGGCAUCCUAAUGUAUAUGAGAAUGGUGAUUUAUGCAUUUCAAUAUUACACCCUCCAGUGGAUGAUCCACAAUCUGGUGAAUUACCAUGCGAACGUUGGAAUCCAACACAAAAUGUUCGAACAAUCUUAUUGAGUGUUAUAUCUUUACUUAAUGAACCGAAUACAUUCUCACCUGCUAAUGUUGAUGCUAGUGUUAUGUAUCGACGUUGGCGUGAUUCCAAAGGUCGUGAUAAAGAAUAUGAAAAUAUUAUAAGGAGACAAGCAGCUGCAGCACGUGCCGAAGCUGAAAAGGAUGGCAUCACAGUUCCUUUAACUUUAGAGGAUUAUUGUAUUAAAACACGAGUUAAACCAACAGCUGCCGAACCAUCUGUAGAUAUGACAGAUUUCUACGACGAUGAUUACGAUUUAGAAGAUGAUGACGAUGAUGAUGACAAUGAAGAUGAUAUAUCUGGUGGUUCGGAUUAUGCAGAUGGUGAUGAUAGUGGUAAUGGUGAAUCGUGAUGCUGUAAUCGUAAUACCACCAUCACUUAUAAAUAUAAUACUACCUACGUUGUAUUACGUUACGUUACGUUAAAGACUAACUACUACGUUAUAUACAAAUCGGUGCAAUUUUAAAAAGCAAGCAGAUCUCAGUCCAAAACAAACAAAUCAAACAAAACAAGUACAGAAAGUUGUGCGUCUAUGCUACUCAUGUAUUGUGUAUUGUACAUCUAUUUGUUGGUUUUUGUGACUUGAAAGAACAGAACACAACACAAAAUUUCCUGUAUUUAUGUUUAUUAUUAUUAUUAUAAAUUAAUUAAUUAAAUGAAAUGAAUUAAAUGUAUUUAGAUGUUAAGGAUUUUAUGUAGAAAUCUAUAUUUUUAGUGUACACUAAAGUAAAAACAAAAAAAACGAAAUUAAAGAAAUAUUUAAUUGGC